GACAGAGGGUGCAAGCGUUGUUCGGAAUUAUUGGGCGUAAAGAGCUCGUAGGCGGCUUGUCGCGUCGUUCGUGAAAACCUGCAGCUCAACUGCAGGCUUGCAUUCGAUACGGGCAGGCUCGAGUUCGGUAGGGGAGACUGGAAUUCCUGGUGUAGCGGUGGAAAUGCGCAGAUAUCAGGAGGAACACCGGUGGCGAAGGCGGGUCUCUGGGCCGA
rnacentral:rRNA from 1 species